GACCACCUCCUUUUCAAACAGACUCAGUAUCCUCCUGACAGCAUCAAGGGCCGUCAGGGAUCCCUGAUGGAAGCCAGGGGACAGUCCCUUCAUGCUAAGGGCUCAGGGAGGUGCUUGGAGUGUCAUUGGCUCCUCACGGUGGCACAGUGGCCUGGGGCAGCCUGGGCUCUGAGCAGGCAGCUCUCUCUGGGCGCUCAUGGUCUUGCAUGCUUGACUUUGGGUGGUGGGUUCUCCUGGCUUCUGAGGACUUUACCCACCAAUUCACUGACCAGCUGCGAGGUCGACUUCAGUCUGUGGGUCCAAGCCGGGUCAGAGCAGAUAAGGGCUCCUUCUCAGAACCAGUCUGGUGAUCGCUGUGUGCCUCCCCUCCUCCUUUCUCCUCUCGGAGACCAUGCGCCUCACCACUGUGUUCUGAGAACUAUCUCAACGGUCCUACGACCUGGACAUUUCCUCAGCCGAGAUAAAACUGGGUGUUGGCUCCAAGGAAGGGGAAGGCUCCCGUGGAGAGAAAGGUCUGAUCAGCAGGAAGAUUUCCAGGCAACCGCCACUCUGGCAGCAGUGGCCUGGAAACUGGGCUGCCUCGGUGCUGACGGUGACCAAGUCCAUUCCAGAGGAGAGGCUGCUGGUGCUGUGUGGGUGUCCCAUCCCGUGUCAGCCAUGGAUCUCCUGAGAGGUGUCACACCUGAAGGGAGGCACUGGAGUCCGCGCCGCAGGCCCUGCAUGGGGUUGGGUGGCUGAGGCUGGGUGGCUGGUGGGGCGACGAGCCUUGGAUAAAGUUCGGGAGUCUGAGAUUCUGGUCUUGGAUG
rnacentral:lncRNA from 1 species